UGUCGUACCUAGCCUGAGACCUCCAAUCGCAUCGCAGGAGCGGCCGGGGAAUAUGUCUUCCAUGUUGUACCAUUCCGUUGGCAUCAAAGUUUGGGCCUCCGGGCGGAAGGAAUCUGCAACGCCAGCCUCACGCUCCUGAUCGGCUGGAUUAUCAGGCGAGGAACAAGACAUUUUCCACAGCUGCAACCUAUUUUUGCAUCAGAAAACUUUCCGUUUUGCUAGUAUUUAAUUGGUAUGUUUGUAUCCUCGCUUUUGGUUUGGGAAAAUGACGUGUAGGGCCAUGUGUUUUGGUUAAGGUCACCCGUAGUGUGGGGACAUGUACAUCUACAUAUACUGCCGUGCCGCCAACAGUAUGACACGGCCCAUGUGAUGUGAGAGAGACGCUCACGCUCAUGCUCCGAGCAAGCAAGCAACGCUCUUGUACGAUACUCCAGCACUUGCUGUUACAAACAACAAGCUUCGAGCACUCACCGAUUUUGCCACUCUCAUUCCCAUCUAAUGUGUGGCGUCGAGCCGUGACGACGUAGUACUGUGUUUAAACAUAAACACACAGUACUACAUCGUCCCGUUGGCUAGUCGGCUGGGGUAGCUGCCAGCCCAUUCGAGUUUGAGUCUCGACUUCUAUAAAAAAAUACCAACGAAGGUUAGCCUUUGGGUUAUUUUUUUUAACAUAAACUAGGCAGGCAGGCAGGACACAUAUGUUUUGCACCAGACGGCAAACAACCUUUUUCAGUUUCUACUACUCGCUGUCGCUGACGACGCAAAAUCGUGAAUCGUGCCGUGCGGCGGGCGCUGAGCGCCUUGCACCGGCACCGAAAUGGAAAGCCAACCGCCGGCGCCGUGCACGGCGUCGUCGUCACUCGUCACUGCCCGCCGCUCACGAGGUGCCCCAGACGGCCCAGCCCAUAAUAUACACGUGCGGGCCAUCUACGGCCCAAGCCCACCCAAACUGGCCCGGGCCUUCUCUCCGUCCCCGACGCCGCCACGCCAGGCUCUGCUGCCCGCAGACCCUGACCGGAGCGGACCGCCGGCCGUCCGCCAACUCCGGCGGUAAAUUCUCGCUCAGAGACCGCCGCUUCCGUGGUCGCCGUCAUCAAUCUGCGGUGGUUUACUGCAGCCAGGUGCUCCUUCCCAUGCGAUUCUUCUGGGUGUGCCUCAUUGAAGCAUCUAUAGCAGUAUGCUUUGCCUAUCACCUUAAUGAUAGGAGCAUACGUUGGCGAUGCUGAAAGAGAAGGUGGUGGCAAGCUUCUGGCUGCCUCACUGAGCAUUGCAAAGGCAACCAGCACGGCUAAGACCAGCCAUAGCUGACCCUUUGGCUGGUGUCCAACGCUUACUUUCAUGGCUGGACAGUGCUUUCUCAAGUGAGAGGAGGAGAUGGGAGAAUGUGAAUGAUUUUGGCUUUGGUAUGGAUGGGUAUUUAUAAUGUUCAGGGUGGCACUUGGCAGGGUCUCUGGGGAAGCAGGUGGAGCUGGUAAGGUAGUAUGGCCAUUUGAGUGAUUAGAGCCUGUACUUCCCUAAAAAAAAUUAGAGCAUGUACUUUGUCAACCACUUGAUUUCAGGGAAGAAAUGUGGAAUUUAGUUAUGAUUUAUGAUAACCUUUGGUGGUUGGAGUAUGUGUAUAUAAAUCUGCUUGUAUGUUAUUUCAGAGAAUUACUAUUGUAGAUUUUGAAGUAAUCGCAGAUACACAAUUAUGUUAGCCAUGAAAACUUUCACCGGCCUGAUGCACAUAUUUAUUCAGUUGCUUGUAAA